rfam:Schistosoma mattheei strain Denwood, Zambia genome assembly, scaffold: SMTD_scaffold0002697
NNCCAGCUGACGAGUCCCAAACAGGACGGAACGCGCGUCCUGGAU